rnacentral:rRNA from 1 species
CGAGAUGUAGCUCCGUCUCGUGGGCUCGGAGAUGUGUAUAAGAGACAGCUGGUAGUCCACACAGUAAACGAUGAAUACUCGCUGUUUGCGAUAUACAGUAAGCGGCCAAGCGAAAGCAUUAAGUAUUCCACCUGGGGAGUACGCCGGCAACGGUGAAACUCAAAGGAAUUGACGGGGGCCCGCACAAGCGGAGGAACAUGUGGUUUAAUUCGAUGAUACGCGAGGAACCUUACCCGGGCUUAAAUUGCAACAGAAUAUAUUGGAAACAGUAUAGCCGUAAGGCUGUUGUGAAGGUGCUGCAUGGUUGUCGUCAGCUCGUGCCGUGAGGUGUCGGCUUAAGUGCCAUAACGAGCGCAACCCUUAUCUUUAGUUACUAACAGGUCAUGCUGAGGACUCUAGAGAGACUGCCGUCGUAAGAUGUGAGGAAGGUGGGGAUGACGUCAAAUCAGCACGGCCCUUACGUCCGGGGCUACACACGUGUUACAAUGGGGGGUACAGAAGGCAGCUACCUGGUGACAGGAUGCUAAUCCCAAAAACCUCUCUCAGUUCGGAUCGAAGUCUGCAACCCGACUUCGUGAAGCUGGAUUCGCUAGUAAUCGCGCAUCAGCCAUGGCGCGGUGAAUACGUUCCCGGGCCUUGUACACACCGCCCGUCAAGCCAUGAAAGCCGGGGGUACCUGAAGUACGUAACCGCAAGGAGCGUCCUAGGGUAAAACUGGUAAUUGGGGCUAAGUCGUAACAAGGUAGCCGUACCGGAAGGUGCGGCUG